rnacentral:rRNA from 1 species
GACGAACGCUGGCGGCGUGCUUAACACAUGCAAGUCGAACGGAAAGGCCCUGCUUGCCGGGUGCUCGAGUGGCGAACGGGUGAGUAACACGUGGGUGAUCUGCCCCUUACUUUGGGAUAAGCCUGGGAAACUGGGUCUAAUACUGGAUAGGACCAUGCUGUAGGUGGUGUGGUGGAAAGAUUAGUUUCGGUAAGGGAUGAGCUCGCGGCCUAUCAGCUUGUUGGUGGGGUAAUGGCCUACCAAGGCGUCGACGGGUAGCCGGCCUGAGAAGGUGGACGGCCACAUUGGGACUGAGAUACGGCCCAGACUCCUACGGGAGGCAGCAGUGGGGAAUAUUGCACAAUGGGCGCAAGCCUGAUGCAGCGACGCCGCGUGGGGGAUGACGGCCUUCGGGUUGUAAACUCCUUUCAGCCAUGACGAAGCCCUUGUGGUGACGGUAGUGGUAGAAGAAGCACCGGCUAACUACGUG